rnacentral:rRNA from 1 species
AUGGACACGUUCAUGGGCGCGGCGCGGGCCUUGCUCACUCGGGUGCCUCCCGCCGAGGGAGUGUGCGAGAGUGGUGCCCUCAAGGUGCUCGUCCUGAGCUUCUACACGUCUUCCCCUCACCUGAGCUCCAUAGGCUGCCUCAUCGAGGACAUUGUGAGCUUGGGCCAGACCCAAUGCCUUGAGUUUUGUAUAUCCCCGCCGGGCACUGACCCGCUGGGCAUCAGCAUUGAGAUUGGGCAGGAGUUCAUGGCGUUCUCCCGUGCCUACCCAGUUGCCUUCUCGUGGCUCACGACGCUUACGCUCGAAUAUCAUGCCUUUGGACAUUCAGACAUCACUGACCUCAUUAGCACUUGCAGUAGGCUCAGGCACCUCAGCUUGAGAUUCUGCAGACUGCUUGAUCUGCACUCCACGCUCAAGAUCGAUGUGCCGUGCUCUGAGCUCCAGGAGCUUGAGUUCAUCGACCUUUUGUGCACAUGGAUCGAGCUCGUCUCUGUCCCCAAGCUUAGACAAGUGGAGUGCAAAUGUUGGCUCUUCAAUAACCCUCCAGUGCGCUUUGGCUACGUUCCUGAGCUUCGCGGUUUAGUACUCGCUUCUAAAGCCAAGGCAUGGCAAGAGCCAUUCGCGCUCAGCGAAUGCCUGUCAACGAGUGUUGGUGCCAGGAACCUGUCAACACUGACUCUGUGUUUUGGGUACCAAAUGAAUUGGAUUCAGCUAGAACCUCCGAAGCAGCUCAUUGCUAUAUUCAGAAACCUGACCUCUGUGCGUCUUUUUGGUAUCUUCAGUGAGUGUGAUCUGACCUGGACACUGUUUAUCCUUGAAGCUGCACCUGCCCUACAUGAUUUAGCAUUAUCUCGACCUUCAUGUGCCAAGCCGCACAAGAACAGUGCCGAGAAGACCAACGUGGUGUGGGAGCCAUCCAAGGAUUUGAAGCACCUGAACUUGGAGGUGCUGCAGAUCUUCGGGUGUGAGGAUGAAGACAAGGUGACAAACUAUAUGAGGCUCGUCAUGGAAAGAGCUGUGGGGUUGUUGAAAAUCCAGUUGUAUGGUGAAAGCCCAUGCACAUACUGUGAUGCCACCAGCCUUGAAAGAUCCCAGGCGGAAAAAGCUAGCAGGCAUCGGAUUAAGGAGCAACUCACACAUGGAUCAUCCUCAUCUGUGGAGAUAAUUAUCUGUUGA